UACGAAGGGUGCUAGCGUUGUUCGGAAUCAUUGGGCGUAAAGCGUGCGUAGGCGGUUCGAUAAGUCGGCUGUGAAAGCCCGGAGCUUAACUUCGGAAUUGCAGUCGAAACUGUCGUGACUUGAGUAUGGUGGGGGAUAGUGGAAUUCCUAGUGUAGGAGUGAAAUCCGUAGAUAUUGGGAAGAACAUCUGUGGCGAAAGCGACUAUCUACGCCAUUACUGACGCUGAGGUACGAAAGCGUGGGGAGCAAACAGG
rnacentral:rRNA from 1 species